CCUACGGGUGGCAGCAGUGGGGAAUAUUGGACAAUGGGCGAAAGCCUGAUCCAGCCAUGCCGCGUGUGUGAAGAAGGCCUUCGGGUUGUAAAGCACUUUCAGUGGGGAGGAAAGCCUUUAGACUAAUACCUUCGAGGAAGGACAUCACCCACAGAAGAAGCACCGGCUAACUCCGUGCCAGCAGCCGCGGUAAUACGGAGGGUGCGAGCGUUAAUCGGAAUUACUGGGCGUAAAGCGCGCGUAGGCGGUUUGAUAAGCCGGUUGUGAAAGCCCCGGGCUCAACCUGGGAACGGCAUCCGGAACUGUCAGGCUAGAGUGCAGGAGAGGAAGGUAGAAUUACCGGUGUAGCGGUGAAAUGCGUAGAGAUCGGGAGGAAUACCAGUGGCGAAGGCGGCCUUCUGGACUGACACUGACGCUGAGGUGCGAAAGCGUGGGUAGCAAACAGGAUUAGAUACCCUGGUAGUC
rnacentral:rRNA from 1 species